rnacentral:rRNA from 1 species
UACGGAGGGUGCAAGCGUUAUCCGGAUUCACUGGGUUUAAAGGGUGCGUAGGCGGCUUAUUAAGUCAUUGGUGAAAGCUCGCAGCUUAACUGUGAAACUGCCAUUGAAACUGCUAAGCUUGAAUCUGGUUGAAGUGGGCGGAAUACAACAUGUAGUGGUGAAAUGCUUAGAUAUGUUGUAGAACACCGAUUGCGAAGGCAGCUCACUAAACCAACAUUGACGCUGAGGCACGAAAGCGUGGGUAGCGAACAGG